AGAAACUUUCUAUCCCCAGGCCCUCACCUGCUGCUCAGCCCCAGGACUCGGCAAGCAGAAAUUAGGCUUCGGUUGAAAUAUCUGGUCUUAAAUACUUGUUGCCACUUCUGCUGCUGUGCAGCUUUGUUCUCUCUUGGGCAAGUUCAUCUGGUUCAUUCCUAGGAUCUGCCGUCCUUGAGAACGAGAAGUUUUGGAAUCAAAACCCACUGGUGGGCUGGGAUUUCUUGAGUGGUAAGGAACAGAAAUUCAGACUUGAGGGAGCAUUUGACAGAAUCCAGGUCACCCUGCCUGGAAGAGAAAGUACCUACUAGGACCUGCCUUCCACCCCAAGGUAAAUCAAGAAUCACGUGGUACAGGCUCAUGGAAGAACUGGACAGUUUCUGUUUGAUCAGUGGAAGGCAGAGAAAGAAGAGCUGGGCUAGGGAGCCCUGAGGAACUGUGAGUACCAGGAGCUGAAAGUUUGCAGACUUGAUGUCCAUGGAUUGCAGAUGGCAACUGACUUUGUUUGCUUCAGUGAGACCUUUCCAGUGACCACAACCCCAUGUUAUUUCUCUGAUACAAGGUCCCAGUGACAGCAGCAAGAGACUGGUGCCAACGAACAGCACCUCUCUCUCUCUCUCUCUCUCUCUCUCUCUCUCCCUCCCUCUCUCUCUCUCUCCCUCUCUCUCUCUCUCUCUGCCUAUCAAGAGGAAGGUCGUGGAGAGACAGGCUUUUAGUGCCCAUGACGACAGAUAACAGGCACAGCCUCUUGGGUCCCGGACUGGAUGCAAAGUCACUUCAUGAUCAAGCUCACCAUGACGAUGAGUCUGUGUUUGACCAGACUUGUUAUCCUGACAGCUUUGGCUUUGUCCUCAUGAGAACUCAGCCAAGCCAUGAGUGGUGACCACAGAUAGACUUAAGAGCCCAGUCAUGGACUCUUUUCCCUCCCUAUUACCUAAUUUCCAACUCCCCUCUGGCAUCCUUUUGACAUUUUUCUGGUUUGGACCCAAUCCGUGGGCUUCACCCAUCAGAUUCUAAAUCAGCUGUGGCUAGUGCCACAAUAAGAAAUGACCAACCACGUGACCUUCACCCCAGAGUGUCGGCCAUGGUCUUCAUCACCCCAAUAUCUGCUUCACACCACAGGGAAACUCCUCCACAUAUGAUCCCUUCACACGAGGUCUUGAGAACAGUCACUGCAGGACCCCUGAGAAGGAACUGAAGGAGUCCAGGUCUUCCACCAGGACCAGUGCCACAGACAGGCAGUGGGAGGAGGAUGCUCUCACAGCUGAGGCUUGGUGACCCUUGUUUGGACUUUAUGACGAAUCUAUCAUGUUUUCAGAGAUCAUUGCUAAGGACGAUCUAUAAAGAUGUCUGAGGAGAUAACCAUUGAGUGAAGUAUCUGCCUCACAAGUGUGAGGUCCCAAGGUUUCUGAGGAAAGGUAAAGAAUUGUUUCCCUGGUAAAAUUGCCAAACCCAGAACAGUAUGUGGAGAAAACCCAGAGGACCAGGAAAAAUGUGCAUGCUAUCCAGGAGGUGGGAGCCGAUCCCAAAUCAUCCUGGAAGCCUACGGACUUCUGUCAUCAGCAAUAUGUUCUCUCGGGCAAAUGAGAGAAAUUCGCAAGACUCUUUGUUCAACUUAACACAAUUUGUAUCUAAGUUUGCUGGAGCCUUUCCGUAGUUCCCUACCUAGUUUACUUCAUAAAGUGAAAUCCUACCCAACAAAGAGGCAGGCUUACAGAAACAAAGAGAUAAGACUGUUUGGUCAGAGAGAUAAAAUCUGAAACCGGGCUCCACUCCACUGCAGUCCUUAGUAAUG
rnacentral:lncRNA from 1 species